UACAGAGGUCUCAAGCGUUGUUCGGAUUUAUUGGGCGUAAAGGGUGCGUAGGUGGCAUGGUCAGUCGGAUGUGAAAUCCCGGGGCUCAACCCCGGAACUGCAUUCGAUACUGCCGUGCUGGAGUACUGGAGAGGAGAUUGGAAUUUACGGUGUAGCAGUGAAAUGCGUAGAUAUCGGAAGGAAGACCAGUGGCGAAAGCGGCGCACUGGACCACAACUGACGCUGAGGCGCGAAAGCUAGGGGAGCAAACAGG
rnacentral:rRNA from 1 species